rnacentral:misc_RNA from 1 species
GAUGAAGAACGUAGCGAAAUGCGAUAAGUAAUGUGAAUUGCAGAAUUCAGUGAAUCACCGAAUCUUUGAACGCACAUUGCGCCCUCUGGUAUUCCGGGGGGCAUGCCUGUUCGAGCGUCAUUAUAACCACUCAAGCUCUCGCUUGGUAUUGGGGUUCGCGGUUUCGCGGCCCCUAAAAUCAGUGGCGGUGCCUGUCGGCUCUACGCGUAGUAAUACUUCUCGCGAUUGAGUUCGAUAGGUCUACUUGCCAGUAACCCCCAAUUUUUACAGGUUGACCUCGGAUCAGGUAGGGAUACCCGCUGAACUUAAGCAUAUCAAUAAGCGGAGGA